rnacentral:lncRNA from 1 species
AUGUAAUGAAUAUAAAAUGAUAAGCAAUAAAGUAUGCAAGCUUUAGCAAUUGUAUGAUCAGUUGUUGUAUUUAGAACACUGAAUUGAAGCUGUAUUUAUAGUUGAAAAACUUUGUAUUACCGUUGCCUAAUUGCCAAUUAAGAAUUGCCGGUUUUACUCUGUGACAAUCGAUUGUCAAAUUACCACAAUCGAUUGUUUGCCAGAUCUUCCAAAAAUCAAU